CCACCAGCUGGUUAUCCGAUGAGCAAAGAAGAGUCCCAGAAACCGGUUGCUUUUGAAACCAAAUCCAAAGGGGAUGAUGAUGGAUUC